rnacentral:rRNA from 1 species
GCGCACGCAGGCGGUCUGUUAAGUUCGAUGUGAAAUCCCCGGGCUUAACCUGGGAACUGCAUUUGAAACUGGCAGGCUUGAGUCUCGUAGAGGGGGGUAGAAUUCCAGGUGUAGCGGUGAAAUGCGUAGAGAUCUGGAGGAAUACCGGUGGCGAAGGCGGCCCCCUGGACGAAGACUGACGCUCAGGUGCGAAAGCGUGGGGAGCAAACAGGAUUAGAUACCCUGGUAGUCCACGCCGUAAACGAUGUCGACUUGGAGGUUGUUCCCUUGAGGAGUGGCUUCCGGAGCUAACGCGUUAAGUCGACCGCCUGGGGAGUACGGCCGCAAGGUUAAAACUCAAAUGAAUUGACGGGGGCCCGCACAAGCGGUGGAGCAUGUGGUUUAAUUCGAUGCAACGCGAAGAACCUUACCUACUCUUGACAUCCACAGAAUUUGGCAGAGAUGCUUUGGUGCCUUCGGGAACUCUGAGACAGGUGCUGCAUGGCUGUCGUCAGCUCGUGUUGUGAAAUGUUGGGUUAAGUCCCGCAACGAGCGCAACCCUUAUCCUUUGUUGCCAGCGAUUCGGUCGGGAACUCAAAGGAGACUGCCGGUGAUAAACCGGAGGAAGGUGGGGAUGACGUCAAGUCAUCAUGGUCCUUACGAGUAGGGCUACGCACGUGCUACAAUGGCGCAUACAAAGAGAAGCGACCUCGCGAGAGCAAGCCGACCUCAUAAGUUGCGUCGUAGUCCGG